GUUGAACGCUGGCGGCAGGCCUAACACAUGCAAGUCGAGCGGAUGAGAGGAGCUUGCUCCUUGAUUCAGCGGCGGACGGGUGAGUAAUGCCUAGGAAUCUGCCUGGUAGUGGGGGACAACGUUUCGAAAGGAACGCUAAUACCGCAUACGUCCUACGGGAGAAAGCAGGGGACCUUCGGGCCUCGCGCUAUCAGAUGAGCCUAGGUCGGAUUAGCUAGUAGGUGGGGUAAUGGCCCACCUAGGCGACGAUCCGUAACUGGUCUGAGAGGAUGAUCAGUCACACUGGAACUGAGACACGGUCCAGACUCCUACGGGAGGCAGCAGUGGGGAAUAUUGGACAAUGGGCGAAAGCCUGAUCCAGCCAUGCCGCGUGUGUGAAGAAGGUCUUCGGAUUGUAAAGCACUUUAAGUUGGGAGGAAGGGCAGUUAGUUAAUACCUGACUGUUUUGACGUUACCGACAGAAUAAGCACCGGCUAACUUCGUGCCAGCCGCCGCCGUAAGAC
rnacentral:rRNA from 1 species